CGUCUAGUAGACCCAGAUGAACCUAUCUUGGCCAAUCCUUUACAUGAGGCAGACCCUUUGGCUCAACAAGCUCAACCUGCCCCUGACCAACAAGAGCCAGUUCAACCAGACCCCGAACCAUAACAAUCUGUGUCUAACCACUCCUCGGUUAGAUCACCCCAUCCUCGGGUUGAAACUUCUGAACCACACCUUGGAGCCUCUGAACCUCAUGUUCA
rnacentral:lncRNA from 1 species